rnacentral:rRNA from 1 species
GCACUCCGCCUGGGGACUACGGUCGCAAGACUAAAACUCAAAGGAAUUGACGGGGACCCGCACAAGCGGUGGAGCAUGUGGUUUAAUUCGAUGCAACGCGAAAAACCUUACCACUCCUUGACAUGGAGAUUAGAUCCUUCUUAACGGAAGGGCGCAGUUCGGCUGGGUCUCGCACAGGUGCUGCAUGGCUGUCGUCAGCUCGUGUCGUGAGAUGUUGGGUUAAGUCCCGCAACGAGCGUAACCCUCAUCCUUAGUUGCCAGCGGAUAAUGCCGGGUACUUUAAGGAAACUGCCGGUGGUAAACCGGAGGAAGGUGGGGAUGAUGUCAAGUCAGCACGGCCCUUAUGGGGUGGGCUACACACGUGCUACAAUGGUGACUACAAUAGGUUGCAACGCCGCAAGGCUGAGCUAAUCCAUAAAAGUCAUCUCAGUUCGGAUUGUCCUCUGUAACUCGAGGGCAUGAAGUCGGAAUCGCUAGUAAUCGUGGAUCAGCAUGCCACGGUGAAUACGUUCUCGGGUCUUGUACACACUGCCCGUCACGCCAUGGGAAUUGGCU